rnacentral:rRNA from 1 species
AGAGUUUGAUCCUGGCUCAGAAUGAACGUUGGCGGCGUGGAUUAGGCAUGCAAGUCGAACGGGCCUGGUAGCAAUACCAGGUCAGUGGCGUAAGGGUGAGUAAGGCGACGGCAACCAACCCCAUGGUUGGGCAUAGCCGCGGGAAACUGCGGGUAAUUCCCAGCGAUGUUCGUACCGGGCAUCCGGUAUGAACCAAAGUUCUGGCGCCGUGGGACGGGCCGUCGUGGUAUUAGGUAGUUGGCGGGGUAAUGGCCCACCAAGCCUCUGAUGCCUACCGGGCGUGCGAGCGUGGCCCGGCACACUGGGACUGAGACACUGCCCAGACUCCUACGGGAGGCUGCAGUCGAGAAUCUUCGGCAAUGGGCGCAAGCCUGACCGAGCGACGCCGCGUGGAGGAUGAAGGCCUUCGGGUUGUAAACUCCUGUCGAGGGGGAGGAAGGCGCAAGCUUGACCUAUCCCUGGAGGAAGCACGGGCUAAGUUCGUGCCAGCAGCCGCGGUAAGACGAACCGUGCGAACGUUAUUCGGAAUCACUGGGCUUAAAGCGCGUGUAGGCGGAUGGGGACGUCGGUUGCUGAAAUCCCCCGGCUCAACCGGGGAAGUGGCGCCGAAACGCCCCGUCUGGAGGGACGUAGGGGGACCUGGAACUUCCGGUGGAGCGGUGAAAUGCGUUGAGAUCGGAAGGAACGCCCGUGGCGAAAGCGAGGUCCUGGACGUUUUCUGACGCUGAGACGCGAAAGCUAGGGUAGCGAACGGGAUUAGAUACCCCAGUAGUCC